CCUGAAUUGCCCUUUAGAAGGGGAAGCAUGUUGUUGUAAGGGUUCUACAGAACAGGUUCUUAAAGAACCUUUAAGAGUGACACCCAAAGGACCUUAAAGUUCUUUAAUGGUGUUUGUGGAUAUUUUAAAUGUUGUGAUGAACAUUUUAAUCAUUUUUAUUUUUCAUUUUCAUUUUUGGUGCCAAAUGAAACAAACAAAAUAGAAAAUUAACACUACUUUUAUUGUUGUGUUGGAAAAUAAAAAGAAAAAAUAUGGGGGAAAAAAAACAUAAUAAUAAGUGAGGUUUUAUUCAAGAACAAAAGUAAAUUUAUUAUAUUUAAUUAUUCUAUUUUUUGAUUUUUAAAGAAGGUUUAAAUGUAUACAUUUGUAUAAAAAGCUACAUCACAGCAAGUAGCAAUUAAUCUGAAAACAUCAACAAAAUGUAAAAAUAUUGUAUUUUUAUGAUAUUUUAUUAUGAUACUAUAACUAAAUUGAUUUGCUCUGUUCUGUUGUGUGUAUUUUCACCUCUGUUCUGCCCCCUAGCGGUCACAAAUGUUAACGCACCAAAGACUUUAACAGAACUGACCUUGAAAACUACAUAUUUAUGUUUCUGACAGUUGACCUUUGACCCCUGUGUGAGAGGGAGAAGCCCAAAAUGGUGACAGUAAAUGAGGGUGAGAGAAACAAUGCUAAUCUGCUGUACAUCAGGGUAAACAGUGUGUUGGACUCUUGCCAUCUGGUCUGGUGUGUGUGUGUGUGUGUGUACAGACGUGCCGAUGUUGGUGGUGUUGAGCAGUGUGUGUACUCUAUGUGUUCUUGUCAUCUCCACACUCUGGACAUGUUGGAAGAUCAGAAGAGCCUUGAGGACGGAAACACAGAAGACGUACACACUGUUCACAGAGCAGACGACGGAGGAGCUGAAGGAGAAAAAAAGUGAAGAGGAGGAAGAAGAAGAAGAAGAAGAAGAAGAAGAAGAAGAAGAAGACAACAGUUAAAGAAAGACAGUUUAACUGUGUUAUUAUUAUUAUUAUUAUUAUUAUUAUUAUUAUUAUUAUUAAUAAAGCAGAAUUACGGCUCAGAUCAAACACUGUAUUUGUGGUAUUUGGGUAUUUUUAUGUAGAAGCGGAUAAAAUGACGAGACACAAAAUGAGGUUUUGAAAAUAAAUAAAUAAAGAAUUGUACAGAUUUAAAUGUCAGUGGAAUAAUUUCAUGAUGUCAGGGUUCUCCGCUGUUCCACACUUUACUGGGGUUCUAAUGUCACUCACUACAUCUAGUGCACCGGACAACGGAGGGCUUAUUACUUACUUACCUACUCACUUAAAUAAACAAAUAUAUAAUCAAAAAAUCACUAAUUAAAUCAAAUAUUUUGAGACAUUUAAGGCCUAGAUUUAAUUUCAGUAUUAUUUAUUACUUUUCAC
ensembl:lncRNA